rnacentral:rRNA from 1 species
UACGUAGGCAGCGAGCGUUGUUCGGAUUUACUGGGCGUAAAGGGUGUGUAGGCGGUUCUCUAAGUUUGGUGUGAAAUCUCCCGGCUCAACCGGGAGGGUGCGCCGAAAACUGGAGGGCUAGAGUGCGGGAAGGGAGAGUAGAAUUCCUGGUGUAGCGGUGAAAUGCGUAGAUAUCAGGAGGAAUACCGGUGGUGUAGACGGCUCUCUGGACCGCGACUGACGCUGAGACACGAAAGCGUGGGUAGCAAACAGG